GCCGCGGUGGCGGAAUUGGCAGACGCGCAUGACUUAGGAUCAUGUUCCGAAAGGAAUGGGGGUUCAAGUCCCUCCCGCGGCA
rnacentral:tRNA from 1 species